GACGAACGUUGGCGGCGUGCUUAACACAUGCAAGUCGAACGGAAAGGCCCUGCUUUUGUGGGGUGCUCGAGUGGCGAACGGGUGAGUAACACGUGAGUAACCUGCCCUUGACUUUGGGAUAACUUCAGGAAACUGGGGCUAAUACCGGAUAGGAGCUCCUGCUGCAUGGUGGGGGUUGGAAAGUUUCGGCGGUUGGGGAUGGACUCGCGGCUUAUCAGCUUGUUGGUGGGGUAGUGGCUUACCAAGGCUUUGACGGGUAGCCGGCCUGAGAGGGUGACCGGCCACAUUGGGACUGAGAUACGGCCCAGACUCCUACGGGAGGCAGCAGUGGGGAAUAUUGCACAAUGGGCGGAAGCCUGAUGCAGCAACGCCGCGUGCGGGAUGACGGCCUUCGGGUUGUAAACCGCUUUCGCCUGUGACGAAGCGUGAGUGACGGUAAUGGGUAAAGAAGCACCGGCUAACUACGUGCCAGCAGCCGCGGUGAUACGUAGGGUGCGAGCGUUGUCCGGAUUUAUUGGGCGUAAGGGCUCGUAGGUGGUUGAUCGCGUCGGAAGUGUAAUCUUGNGGCUUAACCCUGAGCGUGCUUUCGAUACGGGUUGACUUGAGGAAGGUAGGGGAGAAUGGAAUUCCUGGUGGAGCGGUGGAAUGCGCAGAUAUCAGGAGGAACACCAGUGGCGAAGGCGGUUCUCUGGGCCUUUCCUGACGCUGAGGAGCGAAAGCGUGGGGAGCGAACAGGCUUAGAUACCCUGGUAGUCCACGCUGUAAACGGUGGGUACUAGGUGUGGGGUCCAUUCCACGGGUUCCGUGCCGUAGCUAACGCUUUAAGUACCCCGCCUGGGGAGUACGGCCGCAAGGCUAAAACUCAAAGGAAUUGACGGGGCCCCGCACAAGCGGCGGAGCAUGCGGAUUAAUUCGAUGCAACGCGUAGAACCUUACCUGGGUUUGACAUGGAUCGGGAGCGCUCAGAGAUGGGUGUGCCUCUUUUGGGGUCGGUUCACAGGUGGUGCAUGGCUGUCGUCAGCUCGUGUCGUGAGAUGUUGGGUUAAGUCCCGCAACGAGCGCAACCCUUGUUCACUGUUGCCAGCACGUUAUGGUGGGGACUCAGUGGAGACCGCCGGGGUCAACUCGGAGGAAGGUGGGGAUGACGUCAAGUCAUCAUGCCCCUUAUGUCCAGGGCUUCACGCAUGCUACAAUGGCUGGUACAGAGAGUGGCGAGCCUGUGAGGGUGAGCGAAUCUCGGAAAGCCGGUCUCAGUUCGGAUUGGGGUCUGCAACUCGACCUCAUGAAGUCGGAGUCGCUAGUAAUCGCAGAUCAGCAACGCUGCGGUGAAUACGUUCCCGGG
rnacentral:rRNA from 1 species